rnacentral:rRNA from 1 species
CAUGCAGGCGGUCUGUCAAGUCUGAUGUGAAAGCCCGGGGCUCAACCCCGGAAGUGCAUUGGAAACUGGCAGACUUGAGUACGGGAGAGGAAAGUGGAAUUUCGAGUGUAGGGGUGAAAUCCGUAGAUAUUCGAAGGAACACCAGUGGCGAAGGCGGCUUUCUGGACCGAUACUGACGCUGAGAUGCGAAAGCGUGGGGAGCAAACAGGAUUAGAUACCCUGGUAGUCC